GGGUGGAUCAGUGGUUCGAGGUCGACUUUUGAAGCAAGAGGUUGGCCGUUCGAAUCCCGCCCAA
rnacentral:tRNA from 1 species